AUUGAACGCUGGCGGCAGGCUUAACACAUGCAAGUCGAGCGGGGUGAUGGUGCUUGCACUAUCACUUAGCGGCGGACGGGUGAGUAAUGCUUAGGAAUCUGCCUAUUAGUGGGGGACAGCAUCUCGAAAGGGAUGCUAAUACCGCAUACGUCCUACGGGAGAAAGCGGGGGAUCACUUGUGACCUUGCGCUAAUAGAUGAGCCUAAGUCGGAUUAGCUAGUUGGUGGGGUAAAGGCCUACCAAGGCGACGAUCUGUAGCGGGUCUGAGAGGAUGAUCCGCCACACUGGGGCUGGAACACGGCCCAGACUCCUACGGGAGGCAGCAGUGGGGAAUAUUGGACAAUGGGGGGAACCCUGAUCCAGCCAUGCCGCGUGUGUGAAGAAGGCCUUAUGGUUGUAAAGCACUUUAAGCGAGGAGGAGGCUCUUUUGGUUAAUACCCAAGAUGAGUGGACGUUACUCGCAGAAUAAGCACCGGCUAACUCUGUGCCAGCAGCCGCGGUAA
rnacentral:rRNA from 1 species